AGAAAUCAGUUGUAUCUAUCUUGUAGUGGGGAAAGUGGAGCUGGGAAAACAGAAACAGCAAAAAUUGCAAUGCAAUACUUGGCUGCUCUUGGUGGUGGCAGUGGUGGGGUAGAAAGCGAAAUCCUUCAGACAAGCUGCAUUCUGGAAGCAUUUGGGAAUGCAAAAACAUCCAGGAAUGACAAUUCUAGCCGAUUUGGGAAGUUGAUUGAGAUUCAUUUUAGUGCAAUGGGGAAAAUAUGUGGCGCUCAAAUCUAGACUUUUCUGCUUGAAAAGUCAAGAGUGGUUCAGCUCGCUCAUGGAGAAAGGUGAUACAAUAUCUUUUACCAACUUUGUGCUGGUGCUCCGUCUGGCCUCAAAGAUAGACUGAAUCUAAAAUCGGCUGUUGAGUUCCAUUAUCUAAGUCAGAGUGGCUGCUUGGCAAUUGAUGAUGUUGAUGAUGCUAGGAAAUUUCAAAUGCUUAUGGUAA